CACACUUAACUAAUCAAAUAAUAUUAUUUAAAUUUAAUUAAAUUAAAGGCAAUAUUACCCAUUAAAUCACAUCAUCGCAUAAUUAAAAUUAUCAUUUAUUAAAUAUAACACAUAAUUUAUUUUUUCAAUAAAUCUCUAAUUAAUUAUUUAAUUAAUUAGAACAAUACUAAAAUUAUUUAACAACUCAUUGAAUUUAAUAAUCUCAAUUAAAUCCACACUUUGAAUUAUAACAUUAUUCCUCAUUAAUUUAAUUAAUCACUACAAAAAAAUAGACAUUUGGCAAUAAUUUUUUGUGCAAUGACUUAUAAAGUCAUUGCCAAAAAUGCAUGUUUAGCAAUGAAAUUUGUCAUUCGUUGCAGUUUAUGAAAGGCUUUCAUUUUUCAUAACGAAAUUCACAAGUCGUUGUAAAAAUUUGUUGCCAAAUCGUUGGCGGAAAAAAAAACACACCGCCUAUUUUCUUUUUUAUAACCGAUGAGAUUUCUUCUCAUCGUCGGCAACAAAAAAAAAUUUGUUGCUAUAUUUUGUUGCCUAAUAUAGGCCACAUUCAUAGGCAAUAAUUUUUUUUCGUUGCUUAUUUAAUACAUUUUUUUUGCAAUGACUAGUAAAUUGUUACCCAAAAUUAAGACAAAGCCAAUAAGCAUGCCUCAGUUUUCCCCCAAAACGCUUCAUUUUUCAUUAAAAUUUUUUUAUUUAUUUGGACACAAUUUUAUACAGUGAAAUGUUUCACUCCGUUCGUCUCAAAAUAAAUGCCCAGUUUUUAUAUUUUUUAAAGUUAUAAUUUUUGAAAUUAAAAUUGAGCACAUAUAGAUAUAUUUUCUAAUUUACAAAAAUUAAAGUUUAUAGUUAAUUAGAUGUAGUUUAUAAUGAUCAUAUUCGCACACUUAUAAUUUUGAAAAAAAAUAUAAUUAAUUUUCAAAAUAAUUUACAUAAAUUUUUCUUGUAACUCGUUAUUUUACAUAUAUACUUUUUGACAAGGGAUGGGCAAAGAAUCAAAAUCGCUCCCGAAAUUGCACCAAAAAUUGACCAAACUGCACCGAUUAAGUCGCGCCAAUGGUUCCGGCAUAGACCAAUUAAGUUACACCAAUGGUGUGUAAGUUCUUUUUUAACUCUCCUUUUUCAAAUUCUCCUUUUUUCUUAACUUGUAAAUUUUUUUAUAAUCAAAUAUUAAUUUCUCUUUAUAUCUUUAAUUAGAGGGUGUUUAGCAAUGACUUAUAAGUUGGUCAAACUAAAUUUAAGUCAUUUGUUAUUAUUUAGUGUUUGACAAUAACUUAAAUUUUAACUUUUUUUUGAAUUACAAGUCAUUAUUAAAUUUUUUCAUGCUUCAUGUGCUAUAUUUUUUAUGUAUUAGAUAAAUUUUACUACCAUCUAUAUAUAUAUAUAUAUAUAUAUAUAUAUAUAUAUAUAUAUAUAUAUAUAUAUUAAAAUAUUCAUAAUUACGUUAUAUAAAUAUUCAUAGUUACUUUGUCGACGUCGGGAUUUUUAUUGUCCCUUUUCUGUUCUGGUCUUUUGGUGUUCUCAUGUUAGGUGAAAUUUGUUUGAAAAAACAAGUUGUGAAAAGGUCCGAUAUGUAUAUGUCGGCGAUUGGACUGUAAGAGUCGCCAGUUGGUAUUUUUAAAUGGUUGCACCAACUCAACCGAGAAAAGGUUUGCACAUUAACCUAGUGAUGUAACACUGCUUAACAGAUCUGUGAAACCGAGAUUCGUUAGGGUCCGGGGGCUUGAUUAUGCGGAGAAAAGGUGUUAGGCACCCCCCGACAUCUGUGUUACCACGGUGACCGCCACUUUUCAAUUAAACUAUUAUAUGAAUGUGUGUAUGUGUGUGUGGGUCAAUGUGCAAUUAUCGGGAAGUAGUGAUAUGUCUCGUUUGCACCUAUAUACAAAGGGUUUGAAUUUUGUAUAAAAGUUUAGUUUUAACAAGAUAUAACAAUGAUAUUUUGUAAAAGAGGUUUUCAAACCCUUAUGCUCAAUAGUAAUUGAGGCCUUUGAUACUUCCAUUUUAUUAUGUGUUCAGUUUAACUGCUUUUAUGUUUGAGAUGUGAGGCAUCUUCGAGAAAAUAAGAUAUAUAGCAGUGCCGAAUUCCUUAUGGGCAUGAGAGACAUCUAAGGAAAUUCAAACACUGUGAAUAAUUUAAAAGCUGGAUACAACUGAAAAUGUCCAUCACGGGAACCGAAUCUAGAUCCAGAAGACUGAAUUUGUGAUCACAUGAUUCCUAAACUCACAUGAUGUUGUAGUUUGUAUGAAAGCUGUAAGCAGUUAAAUAUAUAUAAAAGCUAUAAAUAUAUAUAUAUAUAUAUGAACGAUCAACCACCACGGAGUAAACUCCAUGGGGAUUAGAAAUGUAAAUAUAUAAAAGCUGUAAAUAUAUAUAGAGAUAAUCAACCACCACGAAGUAAACUCCAGGCGGGACUUAAUGUAAAAUAAAGCAGUAAAAGGCCACAAAGUAAAUUUCAGGCCUAACAAAAAUCUAAAUAUAUAUAUAUAAGCAAUAAACGCUCCGGAUGUGAAUCCAGGCUCAAUCGAGGCAUAACUCGAUGAUGUUAGUAUAAAUAUAUAUAUAAGUAUAUAUAUACAAAAGAAAUAAAAAGCCACGGACCGAAGUCCGGGCAUACGCACACAACACGACUCUCAAAGUGAAUAAUUGUGAGUGCAGAAAGUGGAGAAAGGCUUUAAGAAAUGUAAGAAGUCUUACAGCGGGAUGUCAAGAAGACUUCAAAUAGCUUUAAUUGAAUGAACACUUGGUUUUCACCGGUAAAAUAUAGCAAAAUAUAAGCUCGCAAGUGUUUAAAAUGAGAAAGCACUAAGUUUAUAGUGUGUACAAAGCAAAAUUGACUGGGCUUCCUCGCCUUUUCUCUUUCUAAAAUGGCCACCCCAAGCCCUUUAUUUAUAGAGGGGGGAGCCACAAGUGUACCUACGGCAGCCGCAGAUGUAUCUGCGGUUGCCCGAGGUGCCCCAGGCUCCGUGGGUCCCGCCGUCUCAAAGUACGUGCAUGCAUGCAACGCGUUGUCCACUCGAACCUUCAUAACUUUCAAUCCGGGUAUCCGAUUAAGGCGUAUAAUACCUUUUCGGAAUGCUGUUGUCGAGAGCUACACAAUGACAUGUGAUAAGAGGUUAUACGAAGUCGGGAAGAUAGGGCCAUGCCUAGAUCUUUGGGUCUUCAAAUUCCAUCAAGUGUGCUGUCUUGUGUAGAAAUCACUCGGGAUUUAAGCUAUGGUUCUUGUAGGACACUUCUGUGUAGAAUGUAUGUUGAAAUGUUGUUGAGAUGGCGCAAUGUGGGAUCGAGGUGGCAAAAUGAUGAUUUUUCCCUUCACUGGGGUUAUCUCCGGUUUGGGCUAAUUUAGCAGUCAUUGCUCAGGGUUAUCUCUGAGAUUGGGCUGCUGUGAGUACUAAAGGUCCUCAGGGUUGUCUCUGAGGUGUGCCUGACCUCUUAGGGUUGUCUUAAGGGUUGGAAUUGAGUGCCUCGGGGUUAUCUCUAAGGUUGAAGCUGAUUGCAAAGGAUUGGAAUGAGCUUUUUUGGGGUUAUCUCUGGAACUGCAACUGCAUUUCUUGGAGUUAUCUCUGAGGUUGAAACUGAAACUCCUGGGGUUAUCUCCGGGAUGGAAAAACUAAUAAUUUCGGGGUUGUCUCCAGAACUGGAACUGCAUUCAUCGGGGUUGUCUCUGAGGUUAGAACUGAAACUCCCAAGGUUGUCUCCGGGACUAGACUGAGUAUCUCGAGGUUGUCUCUGGAACUGGAACUAGUUGGUCCUCCAGGGUUAUCUCUGAAAGACGAUUCUAUUCUCCUACAAUGUUAGUAAUAGGAAUACAGAAAUUUUUGAGUGUCUACAGAUGUCCCUCUUUAUCAUAUUCAUGCAAUGUAAUGGUAUGGAUAGGAUAAAGAAUACUAGACACUUGAAAUGUGACAAGAUAAUCAUAAUGCAAUGUACUGCAGCAUGAUGUAUAUGCAUGAUGUAUGUGGUUUGUUGGACCUUUUUCCAACAGGAUGUGAUGACUAUUCCCACGGCUUCUGAUGGGGACUGGAGUUAUCACUGAUGAUCAUGAAGAACUGCUUGGAUGUGUACUCCAAAGCUCUCAGGAACUUCCAGGAUGUUGACGUUGGGGUUAUCACCAAAGUCCUAAAUCCUUGAUACAAACUUCCCACUGAGGAUGUAUCUCUCAUGUACAAGAGAUUUUGGGGAUUUUUGUUCUGUCUAAUGAAGAUGUGUAUAACAUAUUCCAUCAUCAGGGAAGAUGUUCUUUCCUAGUUUGUAUUGUCAGGUCCUUCCAUUGCUCUGUCGGAGUUAUUGCCAAUAGUCUGUGUUGUCAGGGCUGCCUGACCCUCGCUAAAUGUACAUCAACGGAUGAGAUCCCUGCUGGGGAUAACGUUAAGGCUGCUUGACCUUCGUUGAUGUGUGUAUCAAUGGAUGAGAUCAUCGGAUAACUUCUGAUGCUUCGCUGGAUUUACCUUCCAGUGACUGAAUGUCGUCAAGGUUGCUCAACCUUCAUUGACGUGUGUAUCAAUGGAUGAAUUGGAUAAAGUUUUCACUGGGGGAAAAUGUUUUAGAGUUACAACCCCGGACUGAUGGCAUUGGACCUUCGUGAGGUAUUGUCGAGUUUAGUUUGCAACAUUUGUGAUCAUCGGUAUAGUAAACUUUUCAUUUGGGCAAAUACCAAUGAGUGAUAAGUAGACCCGCAGUUUGGUCUCUGAAAACUAGGAUUUCAGGCUUUUAUGCUCAAUCGCAUAUCAUCUUUUUUCCUGAUUUGACUUUUUUAGCUUGUGAGACCUCCUUUGUAACUCAAAUUAGACCAAGCCGGAGGGGUGGGCCCCACCCAGGGGAGCCGCAGGUACACCUGCAGCCAACCGUGGGUGGCUUUAAGGCACCUGUUGCUUUCAUAAGUCAUUUUCAAGUUGCGCCACACAGAGAAUCCGAGAGCUCUUCUUCAGAUUUGCUGAGUUCGGGCAGCUUUCUGCAAAAUAUGUCACCGUACAAGUGUUCUACACUAUCCUGGUAACGUAUGCAUGUCUGCUUUUCCAAUUUUUAUCCGUUGGAAAAUGAGUUAUCAUAUGAAAUGCUUCUAAACACAUAUUACUGAAUAUGCAUGCUCAUAUGACUUGAUAAAAAAUAUUUAAUACAGUAAAUGUUAAUAUUUAACCAUGCUAAACAUAAUGAUGUGAAAAAAUUUAACUUUUGAAAUAGUCAAAUUAACACUUUUUUCUGCUAUUUUUUAUCCUAUUUGAGGACAAAUGAACAAAGGUGGUAAAGCAAAGUAAUCCUGGUAAUUAGGCUACCCUUACGGAUUAUGACUUUAAUAUUUUUAUGCAUAUAGGAUGUUUAUGAUUGUGGGUAGGUGUGCUACUGAAUGACCACCUAGUCAUGCCUAUGUGCAUGUGGAUAGUCCUAUUUACAAAGGAGACUCUGGCAAAAUUUUCCAAAAUGUAGGCAUUGGGUAGUCAUGCAUUUUUAACACUACUGUAGGCAUAUGUUAAAGUAAUGCAUGCAUGCAUAUAGUCAUAAAAUGCAUUUGAAAAGCUCCAGGUUAGAGUUUACCACACCCUUUCUGAAGUGAUUUGGAGACUUGUAUCCAAAUAUAUGGAUCCGGAUCAGCCGAGUAGUUCCCGCAGGACCACUUCAGGUGUGCGGAGGAGGGCUUCUAAUGUACCUCAACCCCAUUCAGUUAGACAACCUCGUCAUUUGAUGGAGGUGGUGAUCCGUCCUAUCCGGGUUGAGGUACCAAAUGUUGAGGACGAGGAGGAGGAUGUACCGAUUGUGGACCCCACUCCUGCUACUUAUGUUCCCCGCAGGGAUCUUCCAGGCAUUCAGGUGAUGAUUCUAGAGCUCCUGAAUGAUUUGAGUUGACACCCCUCAAUUUACUUACAUGCAAACAAGGUACAAGCUGGAUUUGAUCUUCCUUUUUCCUAUAGAUGUGGAGCAAGGAUUUUGAUGUUGAUUUGCUUUAUGAUGUAGGAUCCUGGCUUUACGCAGACUCAGUCUCUCCAUUUGUUGGACUGUGAGGUGAUGAUGACGUCGAUGGAUUGGCGAUUUAUCACUGGUAUAGAGUUUGGAGGGGCGCCAGUGCCUUGUACGGCGAAUAUUACCCCGACUGUCGUCAAAUCCUUGCUAGGAGUCCUGGUUGAGGCGCUCAAGGGUAGGACAGUUCGUACAGGUCCUUUGAGUGUGGAUGUUAUGAGUGGGCUGUUGAGUGAGCCCAUACCUGAUGAUGUGAGAGUUAGGAAUCGCAUUCUUCGGCGAUUGUUCCUGAUAAUCAUUAGGGGCUACUUCAUAGCGGAUAACUCUUCCACCAUAUCAUUCACUUUGGUCAGUACCACACGAGAUGUGGACCGUAUUGGAGAGUAUGACUGGGGUUCCUAUACCUUCGCCUAUUUCCUCAAGGGUAUGCGUUCGUAGGGCUUGACGGAGGCUUGGCUAGGAUUUUACCUAUUUCUACUGGUGAGUAUUUCUCUUAUGAUUUCCCAUAUGCAGGUUAAGAGUGUUGACUGACAGCAAAUGUUUGCCUUUGUGUUGGCAGUUUUGGGCCUUUGAGAGGCUCUCAUGCUUGCGUCCUAUGAGUGUGUUAGGUUUAGAUACCUAUCCACGAGGAUGGAGAUGGCAUCACUCCAUACUGGCGGAGGUUCCUGUAGCUGAGGGUUUCACCCAUUGUCAUCUACAGUUGGAGUUCUUGACAGCUGAUGCUAUCACUUGGAUUCCCUAUUCUGGGGAACAUUUGACUGUUGGGUUUCAGGUCGGGUACCCGACUGGUUUCGAGUAUAUGAUAUCCACCCGUAGGAUUCCUCUCUUCAUAGAUGGAGGAUGGGAGCUCUAUUUGGGAGAGCGUGCUAUUAGGAGCACUAUAGAGGAGAUUCGUGUACCGAUCUUGCCUCCUGUCAGGCAUUAUUGGCCUGUUUCACAGUCGCUUGUCAGUGAUAUCCCAUUGAUGGGCGUUGACGGCUUUACUUUUUCAAAGGGUCCGUAUACUCAGGAUAUGUUCCAUCACUGGUGGUCCCCUCGUACUAUCAGAGCCCAGACCCUCGCCACUCAGUUCAUGGGGGAUAUGGUUCCUAGGUCCAUGAUGAUGACGGAUUGGAUGGUCUAUUUCUGAGAUCCGACUCAUUAAACACAGAUUGAAAGUUUGACCCGGCAGUUCGACCGGGCACAUUUCUUUAUCCUGCACUUGGGUAGAGAUCCUUCAGAGGCAGAUACUUUUGAUCCUUCCAGCUCCGGGCCUGGCCAUUUAGGUGACCUGUAUGUUUUUGUCGACGUAGAUCCUCCAUUGUAUAGGCCUGACAUCCCACUUGGUGGAGAUCCAGUGACUCAGGAGGAGUUACAUUAGGUAGACAGGAUUGAUGAUGUUGACAUUGAUACCAUUGUCUUCUUCUGAUGUGUAUUCUCGCUAUAUCUUUUGAUAGGCCUCUAUUAGAUACUGGGUGGAUGUGUCCCAUUCUUGUUAUAUCUUUUGAUAGACCUCUAUAAGUUAUUGGGCGUUUGUGCCCCAUUUCCCUGUAUUUUUAGUUGUACAGAGAUGAUGUGCUUAAGAAUGUAUGUACUAUUUUCCAUUCCCUACAUCAUAUUGCCAUCUAUUGUUGAUCAUGCAUGUAUCAUAUUAUGCAUAUGUAUGUCCAGAGAUAUUCAACAUUGACCCCUGCAUAGUCUUAUGAUACGGCCCACACAUAUGUCUUCUUCGACAGUCAACCGCAUUGAUCACAUCCCACCAGUAUUGGUAGCCUCCCGUCUGAGGUCAUGGUAUGAUAGUUUGCCACCUCCAGACCCGGUGACCGUAGAUCAGUUAUUACAACAUUCCAUGACCCUCCUGAUGUUCUAGGUUUUUGUGGGCUUUGUAGAUGGAAUGUUGGAGCAUUGGGUAUUUGAGAGGCAGGUUUUCCGAUUGGGGACCCAGGAGUCGACUCUCACCUUCGAGGAGUACGAGCGGUUGACAGUUUUGUCACUAGACAGGACUUAUGCUUGGAUGGCUAUCGAUGACAUGAGCUGCCAGUUCAUGACCCUCACCAGGCUGAGGUGUAGAGUAGUAGAGGAUGAGAUUACAUUCGGUCAUGUGGUGUCCCAGCGUUUUCUGAUAGACAAAUUUGGCUCAGUGGACAGUUAUGCACGACUUUGGGGAUUUUACCACGUCGGAGGAUCAGUGGCAUAUGGCUAGAGUAGACGUACUCAUGAUGUGCGUAGUGGCUUAUGUGUACAUGCCACUGUAUAUGGAUGAGCUGGACAUUGGUGUUAUCAUGGCAGUGAGAGCUCUCAAGGAGGGUCAUACCAUUGUGCCGAUGAUUGUGACAGAGACAUUGAGGUCGACCAUAUAUUGCCACACUUAUCCUGCAUGGGUAUUCAUAGGUAGCUCGGUCCUGAUGUAUGUGUGGUUUAUGUCACACCUGAGACCGAUUGGCACCUUCCAAUGACAUGGGUAUUAUUUUUUCCAUGAGAUAGCCAUAUCUUACUCCUUUCAUCCAGCGGAGUGUACAGACGCUAUAUUCUGUUCGGUGUUUUUGGUAGGGAUCGGAGAUCCGUUUGACAUUUUGCCGUGUACAAGGCUUAGUUCACCCUACAGCUUCAUUACUCAUGCAUCUGGCAUGGAUUAUCUCCCUCUGGCUGGUUUGAGGGGAAUGACCACUUAUCACCCACUGGCUGUGUGUCACAGUUCGACCAGUUUCAAGACGUCCAUCCUUUUGAGGGGGCAUUAGGUCAGCGUUUGGCUUCUUGCCAUUUGUUAGAAGAUGACAGAUCUAAAGUGUAUGCAUGUUAGGAUCAGCGUGAGCUAGCUGAGUUUUCAGUUAGCCAUUUGGCCUGUUUGGCAGAGUAUUCUGCAUGGAUGGAGAUAGAAACUACAUCAGUUGCAAUAGUAUCCACAGUAUCGGGGAUUGAUUAUGAUGGUGGAGAGCCCGUAGAGGACAUUGAUUCUCCUACUGAGGAGUUGUUUGCUGGUUUGACAACAACUCUUGUUGAUUCUCCCAGUAUAACUGCUACUAUGACCCCGCAUUCAGCAGAGUAUUUAGAGCAGAGCCUGCAUCUGAUGACAUUUGAGAGAGAUCAGGCUAGGGCCUUGAUGUUGACAGCUCUUGCUGGUAGAGAUGUUGCUUUAUUGGAGAGAGAUGAUGCUUUAACUCAUAGAGACACCACUAUUGCUAAGCAUGAUGAGACUAGAUCAUCUAGAGAUGUAUUGAUUAUUGAGUGGGAUGGCGCUAUAUCUGCCCGGAAUGUAGCCGUUACUGAUAGUACUACAGCGAGGUCCCAUACUACUGCUAUUGUUGCAGAAAUGAGGGCUUUUAUUGAUGAGCACAGUGUCACCAUGCAGUUGGCUGUGGAUUUGUUGGCUCGUGUAGAUACCCUUAGGCAGGAGCUCACAGCGUUACCUCUUUUUUCAGAGAGAGAUGCCAUGUUGGACUUGAUAGCUCGCAUAUACACUGAUUUAUAGAUGGGCUUGUAUUUUUCUGCACAGUCUAGCUUAGCCAUUUUGUCAUGUACAGUACAUAUUGUAUAUAUCAAACAUCAUUAUAUAUGGCAGGAAAAUAUAUUUUGAUUCACUUCCCUUUUAGUUGUGCCUUGUUACAUGCUUGAUAUUUGUAUGCUUCUCUAGGACUUGUGAUCUUGAUGUAUUUUGAACUCAUCCUUGAUGGGUGGACAUUGAGAUGUCUCAGGAUCUUUCAGAAUGGAUCGUUGAUCUGUGUGUAUUCCCUACCCUUUGGUGUAUUGGGACUGGUUUCUGUAUGUAGUAAUGGGGAGGAGUGUGCCUUUCCUCUCUGAGGUUGACCCCACCACAGAUGGUCGUCGGUACUCCUUUGUAUGGGGGAGUCCAGGUAGUUCCAUCUCUUAUGGAUUGGUGUUUCUCUUUGAGGACUCAACCGUAGCUUAGAUGGUCGUCGAUUCUCCCAUUUGUGUGGGGAGAUCAGUUAGUUCCAUCCCUUUGGUCUAAAGUCGAUAAAGUGUGGUGAAUUGAAGGUUGAUCCCAGUACCAUGUGACAAGUUUUUGUGUUUUGGUAGGGGUAAGACUGAACCAUGAAUGGUUGCCUACGUACUCCUAUUGAAGAGGAGAUCAGGUCUGCUAGUUCGAACCUAGUGUAAGAGGUUCAACGAUGUAUGUGAAAGGGUGUAGAAGGGUGUAGAAGUGUUUUUUUUAUGUGGUGUGACCGGGCCAUAAAAACAAGGUUCUAAAAGGCGCUAGGCGGGAGGCGGGCGGCCAGGGGAGGCCUAGCGCCUGGGGGGCCUAGGCAGGAUUUUUUAUUGUAAGUCAAUUUUACUAUUUUAUCUCACAUUAUUCUAACAAAACAAUAAUAUAAAGCAAAAUAAUCUAUAAUAAAGAUAAUAAAGGCAUUUGUUUAAAGUUUAAACACAUUCAUAUAGCCAACUUCAAAGUUUAAACAAACACACAAUUGUUCAAAAUUCAAACACAAACAAAUAAUCAAAAAUACAAACUAAUAGUCUUCAUCCCCAUAUCCCUCUAUAUUUCUAACUCUUCAUCUCCAUAUCCCUCCAAGAUAAUGUCUCCAUUGGACUCACACUCAUACUCCUCAUCUCCCUCUUCCUCUAUGUCAUCAUCAGACAAAAAAUCUUCUUCAUGAAGUUCUCUUACUCCAACAAUUCUACUACUUCUCCUAGGCUCUAGCAUGUUAUCCGCUCUGGAUGUUUCACCAACCGUCUCCCAAAUAAGGCCCGAACAACCCUUAACCUCAUCAUCACCACCUUCAACAAUCCAUCCUUGCACUUUUGAAGCAUCACUUGCUAGUAGCACAUCUACUUUCCUAUCUUUCUCCCAUUUCUUUUUGUUAUUAAGCCUUGCAUUAAAUUGGACAUAGACUAGAUUGUUCAACCUUGUUGCAUCUAGUCUAUUCCUCUUCUUUGUAUGAAUCUACAAAAAAUGAAAUUGUUUUUUAAAAAAAUAAAAAAAUUAUAUAUUUAUAUUAGAUUUUACUUAAUAAACCACUUACUAGUUACUAUAUACUAUGUAGUUGAUAUUUACCCCCUCAAAAGUACUCCAAUUUCUCUCACACACAGAUGAACUAGUAGUCAACGAAAGAAUCCUUGUUGCCAUCCUUUACAAGUUAGGUGUACUAUUACCAUAAUUGGACCACCAUCCAACUAGUCAUUAAAGAUUGUAAAUUAUUAACAAAUAUUUUAACAAGUAUUAAAUAGUAAAGAAAGAUUAAACAAUAAAUAUUUAUACUCGAAUCAUAAUUAUUAUCAUUUGUUGCACAUCCCGCCGCCGCUAAAGGUCUUGCAAACCCACCCUCUUUUUUUUAUACUUCAACAACUCUAUAUUUAUGACAAGACUUUGCAUAUUGAAGUCAUCGGGAAAGAACUUCUCAACACAAGUAAACAUCGCAUCCAUGACAAGUGGAUCACUUUGUAUGUUAGGAUCUUUAAAGAAGUGAUAAGGGUUCAAUUGGUAAGCCGUCAAAUGCAAAGGACUAUCAAGCCGGUCUUUGGCUUUAGCAUCGAUAAUCGCGAGAAUGGGACGAUAGUUAGUCCCAUUAUUUUUGAAUGCCUCUUUGAUCUCUUCAUUUGCUUUUUUGAGUUCUCCAUAUAAAAAACCCAUUGAUGGCUUUUGGUCUCCAUCAACAAGGCGAAGCACCUUUACCAAUGGAGCAAACACUUUCAAGCAUAGUGUUACUUCAUUCCAAAAACUCAAACUCAAGACAGUAGCAUACGCCAUUUUUCCCUUAGUAUUUUUUGACCAUUUGCAUUGAUCCCAUUCAGUACUAGUAAACAUAUACCUCAACUUCUCUUUCUUUUCCAUCAAACUUUGCAAAGUUAAGAAAGAAGUUGCAAAUCUAGUAGUGCCAUGACUCACUAUGUCUCUCUUUUUUGUAUGUUUCCUCAUCAAUGCCAAUGUCUUAUGAUGUGCAUAAAUAAAGAUAGUAAAGGCCUUUGCUUUCUCAAUCACUCCCUUAAACUUUGGUAGCUUGCCAAUUCCUUCAAGCAUGAGGUUCAAAGUGUGAGUGGCACAAGAAGUCCAAAACAUAUGUGGCCUCUUUAUCAUUAACAAGUCUGCCGCGGUCAUGUUGUUGGAAGCAUUAUCAGUAACAACUUGCACUACAUUUUGUGGCCCAACUUGUUUAAUGAAAUCAUCUACAUAUUUGAAAAUAUAUUCUUUAGUGUGUGCUUCCUCAGAAUCUUCUUUACAAGAAAGAAAAGUUGUGCCCUCUUUGCAAUUCACACACAAAUUCAUGAUACUUCUUCUUUUUCUAUCAGUCCAAGCAUCGGUCAUAAUCGAACAACCAUUGAAAGACCAUUCCUCGUCUUACUUCUUGAGUGACUUCUUAGUCCUCUCUACCUCCUCUUUCAAUAAUGGCUCCCUUAGUUGGUAUUGGCUUGGAGGUUGGUAACCCGGGCUGUAACGACCGAGAAAUUCGGAUUUUAUUGUAAAAUGAUUUUAUUAAAUUAAAUAAUAAUAAAAUCAUAUUCUUUGUGAUAUCAAGAUGGUUGUCAUUCUAUAACCUAUUGAUGUUGGAAUGUCGUAGUAUUUGAGCUACGUGAAGGAAUUAAAGUGUUUGAAUUUCUAAGACGAAAAUAAAAGUUUUCCGAGAAAUUUUCUGAAAAACACUAUUCAUCGGUAUUUGCUCGGGAAUUAUUUUUCAAUUUUCGAGAAAUACGUAAUGAUAGAAUAUCAAGGUAAGACGAAUUAUGUAAUAAUAAUCUAGUUAUGGAAAACGUAAUAUUUCGCUUGCGAACUUAAUUCGAGAAUAUUAAGGAAAGCGAAGUAUUAGUAAGAAAUCGUUAAGGGUAUGAUACUUAUGUAUUGUACAAGGGAAUGAAAACGAGUAUAAUACAAAGUAUUAUACGAGUUUGUAUGAAGGAAGGAAUAUCGUAUAUAAUAAAGUUGUAUACGAAUUAUAAUACGAGAAUAAUACAUAGACAAUAUGUAUAUGUAAUGGAUUUGGAAGAUUGGUUAACAAUUGGUACAAGCCCAAGUGAAUUAAAUGUUAAGGCCAAAUGUUAAUUAAUGAACAAGUUAAUUAAUGCAAGCCCAAAAGAUAGGUUAAACUAAGCCCAAAUUAAAGUCCAAUGGGUUAUGGUGACCCAUGGGGCAAACCAUACUAAUGUGGUUAAUGUGUGGUAACCAAGAUAAGUGGUGACCAAGUUAAGUGGUAACCAAGUUGAUGUAAUGACCAAGCAAAGGAUAGGUUUUGUGCCAUGCAAGUAAUGAAUAGUAAGGAGGUUCAUAAGGAGAUGGGAUUGGUUUAAAGUCCAAACUACCCUAACUUUGAAAAAUCUAUAUAUAGAGGAGGCUUACAAGCCAUUUUUUAGUUGUUCAAAUAAUCCAAACACUCUUUCAAAGUGCUUAAUUGUUAGGGUGAUUAAGUUGCAAAUAAGUUACUUACAUAAGAAGAAGAAGAAGACUACUUACAAAGACUUCAAAUGUAAGACUCCUCUAAUUAUCUUCUAUCUCUAUUCAUGAUAGGUUGAUAAGCAAAGAUGAAUUAAGGAACAUGAAUGUUAAGAAGUGAGAAGAAUGUGUAAGUAAUGAACUAAAGCCACAUAAGUUGGUAAUAAGUCAUUUAAGCUAGCAUAAGUUAUAAACUUAUGUGAAAGUAUUAUGAACUUGUCAUGAGUUUGUUAAUGAAAGUAAAGGAAUUGUAUGUAUAUUAAUCAUAUAUACAUGAAUGAAACUAUAUGUGAAAACAUGUAUGCAUGAUGAUUAAAAGAUAAUAACUUUCAUAAGUUAUGAACAAUGAAGCUAUAAGUAGUUUAUAAUUGAAUAAGUUAUAAGCUCAUGAAUGAAUUAAGUUAAAAUCCAACAAUGGAAAUAAGUUAUUGUAUUAAGUAUGUGAAUAUGUUUAUAGAAUGAAAUGAAUGCAAGUGAGUAAUGAACAAAUCAUAAGUAAUGAAGAUUUGCCAGAAAUCGAACGAUUAGACGAUAAUCGUCGAAUUCAUGAAAUUCCCAGAUUAGAAGUCAAAUUUUGAGUUUGAACUCGGAAAUGUAAUUUUCCAAUGGAGACAAGUCAUAUUCGUCAUUUUAGAGUUGCGAACUCAAGAAUGACUGAAUUCCGACUUAUAAUGAAGAAACGAGCGUUGAACGUUCACGAACGUUUAUCGUUUACGUUAAAAAUGAACCAAUAGGUGAAUUUUUAGCAAACAAAGUCAAAUAGAUAAAAUUUUUGCAUGAACGCGUAGAUUACGUAAUUUGUGAACCGUAGGCUUUUGAACGAGCCAAUUCGGACUUAUAACGAAGAAGUUAUGCGUCCGGGAAGUUCACAAAAUUUAAAGUUUGAAAAAAUUUUCUGGUGCAUAGAGUUGGCGCCGCGGUGCCAACCCUAGGCCAAAUGAUGGCGCCGCAGCGCCGUAACAGUAACCGAGCAUACUGGAAACUCGCGCCGCAGCGCAAACUGUAGAACAUUUUAUGGCGACGCAGCGCCAUGAACAGACCAUGCCAUACUGGAAAGUGGCACCGUAGCGCGGCCCACUAAGUAAGGACUCGCGCCGCAGCGCCAAGUUCCUGACCUCUCCACUAUUAACUCACGCCGCAGGGCGAGCUGUAGUUAUAAAGCUGGCGCAGUAGCGCCAGUCUCAGAACAAGGAUAGUGAAGAAUAUUUCUAAGUACAAAGAAAGAAUGGUAAUGGAUUUAAAAAUAAACAUACUUUAAGGAACAUAACUUAACAUUGUUUAAACUUUGUUAAACCUUAAGGAUGUUGUAUAAAGGUUGAGAUAACCUAGUCAAAUGUAAAUGCAAGUAUAAUGAUAAACCCGAAUGAAUAGUAAAUAUAUCUAAUACACAAUUAGAUUGAGAUGAAGGGUAAGAUAGUCAUAUAUAUACUUGGUUAUAUAUGACCUAAUGUGAGGCAUUAUGUGGUCAUGUAUUGCAGAGACUUGAAAGACUUGAACGUAAAGUAUUUAUACCGUAGCAGACGCUAAAGGCAAGUAUUCUAACUCUUGUCUCAAUUCAAUCUGAACAAGUUUUGAAGUUCGUGUAUUCUUACGCAUGAACUAAUGUAUGAUGAAGUUAAAGCCAAUCCUUUCAGCUAGACUUGACUUAUUGAGUGGAUUAUUGAUAAUCUUUCAGGCACGCGAGGUUGCCACCAAUUAAACGUACAUACGUUUAAUGAAUGUAGUGUUUAUCAACAUAGAGUACAAUAGGCUGAUCACCUAGAAGUGCUCAUAAGUAAUACCGGUCUUACGGACUUAGUUCCGGGUUGUCCUUUUCAAAGAAGAAAGAAAUGCUCGAGGUCUUUGACUGGAGUGAAUGUUUUACUGAAUACUGAUAUUAUUGUAAAACAUUUUUAAAGAAAGAUGAAAUGCUAUUUUGAAUAAUUAAUAGUACUUCAUAACUAUUGUUCAGUUAUUAAAGAUAUACGAUUCGUAUGUAUCAAACAUGUUAUUUAUUGAAAAUGUCAUACUUGCUGAGCUAGUUAUGCUCACUCUUGCUUGAACCAUAUGAAUGCAGCUAAGACUGAAUGUCCCGAAGGAUCGAAUAAGGAUAAAGGAAAAGCUAAGGUAGAUCGUUAAGCUGCCUAUGUAAUAGUAUAGGUUAUUGUUGUAAUGUUAUUGAUAUUAUGACAAAGAACCUUUGUAAUAGGUUUAGAACUUGGGACAAUGUAAUUAUUAUUUUGAUAAUAUAGAAGAGAUGUUCGUUCUUUUGAGGCUUUUCAAUUGAAUGAAUGUAUGAAUGUUAUUACAGUAUAGCACCAUCUGUCAGGUUGGAAGAUACCCGAAUUUAGGGGCGCUACAGGUUGGUAUCAAAGCCUAGGUUGUAAAACUUAAGGGGGAUUAGAACCUUAAGUCAUAACCUUAAUAAAGAAGUAGAAGAUGAAAGAUAACCCUAUAAAAAUGUAUUAUCUUAUGUUAAGUGUUUUUAUUAUUUUACUAACGUGUACUAAUCAAACAAUAUUGUUUUAUUGUAGAUGUCAGGUGAAAAUGAUAUGUAUAGAGAUAUACAUGUAGUGAGCGAGGAUUCGGUUAAUCGAGUAGAGGUACUACCCAAUCCCGUAGCAGUAGAACCAAAGGUGCUGACUAUCGAGUCUGGAGACUCGGACGAUUUAGACUACAUGUCUAUAUUUGAUGGCAUGCUAGAGGAAGAGGUGGACGUGAUGUCCUUUGAUCAGGUUCCACCUACAGAAGAGUUGACUACGGGGGAGUCAAUGAAGGCGUUGUUCAUGUCAAUUCUGGAUAGAAACGUCCACUAAUGUCAAGAAGUUAGGGAGUUCCAAGAGGAACUCCAAGCUGUCCGGGAGGACAAAUUAAGUAUGGAGGGUAUGUUGGAAGAGGAACACGAUGAUCGUGUUUUAGCCAAGGACAAGGUCCACGAGCUGAAACACGAAGUCUUUGAGCUCAAGCAGGAGCUAAAGACUAAACAGCAGAAGAUAGAGAGGAUGUCCUAUAUACAUAGGAGUUCUCAUGUGGACUUCCAGCAACAAGUAGUUGGAUAUCCAGUGGAAGCAGGGCAGACUCGACAUACCAUUAGUCGAGAUGUCAUAGCCGGUUUGGCCAAGAAAGAUUUCGAUAAUGCCAUUCGGCAAAUGUAAUCUAGUUAUAGCUAGACUAGUUUAGAUAUGUAAAUAUUAUGUAUCUAGUAGUGACGUAAAACUCUCUUUUGUAUAUCAAGGGUAGUCUUUUGUAAAUCCCAAUUUUUGGAAAACAAUUGCGGGAUGGUAAUGUAAUCAGCUAAGGCUGAGUAAUGUAAACAAUGUAGUGUUAUGCUACAAGUUAUGAAUCAAUAUAAGUCUUUUUAUGGAACAUAUUGAGUAAUGGGUAUGAGUUAUUAUUUCAGUACAAAUAAUAACAAAACAAGAAGAAGAAAGUAAUAAUGACGUGUUGUUUUCUUAACAGCAAAAUGCCGCCAAGAAGGAGACAACGAAAUCAAGAUACUAAUGUUGAACAACCGGAAGAAGGUCCGGUUAAUCCAAUACAAGAGUUCGUUAAUCUUUUAACGGCUGCGUUUAAUAGAACUGGGGCUAAUGUACCCAUAAAUCCUGGAGUAGUGAUAGCUACUACUUUUAAGGAUUUCAAAAGUGUCGGUCCGCCGGAGUUCAAAGGAACUACAGACCCAAUAGAAGCCCAAACUUGGGUGAAAGAAAUUGAGAAAGCAUUUGUAAUAUCAAAUGUUGAGGAAGGUCAAAAGGUUGCCUUUGCAACCUAUAUGAUGAAAGGGGAGGCCAAUUUCUGGUGGGAGGCAAACCAGGUUAGGGCUGGAAUAGAAAACUUAACGUGGGUAGGGUUCAACGAGAUUUUCUUCUAGAACUAUUUUCCCACGAGUAUGCAGGGGAGGAUGGAAAUGAGGUUUCUUGAUUUGAAACAAGGGGAUAUGACUGUUCCCCAGUAUGCUGCCAAGUUUAAUGAACUGGCAAGAUUUUCUCCACAUCAAGUGGACACUAAAGUGAGAAAGGUUAGACGAUUCGAGCAGGGCUUGAAACCCUGGAUCUAUAGCCAAAUUUCUGUGUUCCAAAGUACUUCCUUUGGAACCAUAUUAGAAAAGGCAAUAAUUGCCAAAGGUGGGAAUGAGGCUCUCAGCCAGUACCACAAGGAUAAGAAAAACAAGGGCAGGGUUGAUGGAGGAAUAAAGACCGAGGGAACCAGUGGUAGUGGCGACGGUCAAAAGAGGAAGAGUUUUAACUCUGGGAAUACCAGAGUAAAGCAAGGGGAUUCAAAAAGGAGGAUGGAGGCUUGUAAAACCUAUGGGAAGACUCAAUUAGGAGUCUGUCUCAAGGGUAAGGCAGUAUGUUAUAAUUGUGGGCAGGAAGGGCACAUUUCGCCUAAUUGUCCCAAUCCAAAGAAAAACCAUUGAUGCUUUGUAUGUGGAUCAACUGACCACAUAGCAAAGAACUGUCCAAAGAAGGGGGCAGAUGGAAAUAAGGGCACUAAUAGCGGUAAGUUGGCUAUUAGUGGUCCAGCUCAGCUGGGUAGACCAAUGGCCUGCACUUUUAAUAUGACGGUCCAAGAUGCGGUGGCAUCAGGGGAUGUAGUUGCAGGUAUUAUCCCGAUCAAUAACAUAAAUGCGUACAUGCUAUUUGAUUCAGGUGCUACUUGUUCAUUUAUAGCAUGUGAUUUUGCAAGACGAUUAGAAUUACUUUCCGAAAAGUUUCUUAUACCUUUGAUUAUUAAGGUAGCAAAUGAAGAGAUAAUUCCUGUUGAAGAUAUUCAUAGGAAUUGUUGCAUAGAUAUACGAGAUUGUAAAUUAUCGGUAGAUUUAAUACCGAUAAAGUUGGGAGAAUUCGAUGUAAUUCUCAGAAUGGAUUGGUUGAUUAACCAUGGAGCAAUUAUAGAUUGCCAGAAGAAAUGUGUGAGCAUUAGGACGUUGAAACAACCUCCUGUAGUAUUUUACGGUAAUAAAUCGCUAGGACGUUCGUGUUGUCUUACGAUGACACAAACUAGAAAACUUUUAAGGAAGGGAUGUGUGGGUUACUUGUGCCAUGUUGUUGACACCCAGCGAGUGGGAGCAACCAUGGAACAAAUACUCAUAGUAAACGAAUUCAUGGAUGUGUUUCCAAGUGAGUUACCGGGGUUACCACCGAAUAGGGAGAUCAAAUUCGUAAUAGACAUAGUGCCAGGAACGGCACCAGUCUCAAGGGCACCGUAUCGUAUGGCGCUUGUGGAAAUGAAAGAGCUAAUGGUUCAGUUACAGGAACUAUUGGAUAGAAAGUACAUUCAACUGAGUGUUUCCCCAUGGGGUGCACCGGUAUUGUUUAUUAAGAAGAAAGACGGAUCGUUAAGACUUUGUAUCGACUAUCGAGAGUUGAACAAGUUAACGAUAAAGAAUAAAUACCCAUUGCCCAGGAUCGAUGAUCUUUUUGAUCAGUUGAAAGGGGUAAAGUAUUUUUCUAAAAUAGAUUUGCGGACGGGGUAUCACCAAUUGAAGGUUAGGAAGGAGGAUAUACCAAAGACGACAUUCAGAACUCGUUAUGGUCAUUAUGAGUUUCUAGUAAUGUCAUUUGGAUUGACGAAUGCACCAGCUGCAUUUAUGGAUAUGAUGAACAGAGUGUUCAAACCAUAUUUGGACAAGUUCGUCGUAGUGUUUAUCGAUGAUAUUCUAGUCUAUUCAAAGAUGCCAGAAGAUCAUGCUGAACACUUAAGAUUAGUGUUGGAGACACUAAGAAAGGAGAAGUUAUAUGCAAAAUUCACUAAGUGUGAAUUUUGGCUGGAGAAGGUAUAGUUUUUAGGUCAUGUCAUUGACCAAGAAGGGAUUUCAGUGGAUCCAGCAAAGGUAGAAGCAGUGAUGAGCUGGGAACAAUCGAAAACGCCGUCUGAGGUGCGGAGUUUCCUAGGGUUAGCGGGAUACUAUCAAAGAUUUAUCCAAGAUUUUUCAAAGAUAGCUACCCCAUUGACUAACUUGACAAGGAAGACGAUGAAAUACGUGUGGACGGAUAAAUAUGAAGACAGUUUUCAAGAAUUGAAGAAAAGAUUAAGUGAAGCUCCUGUUUUGUCAUUACCCGAUGACACAGGAAAUUUUGUAGUUUAUAGCGAUGCUUCGCAUAGAGGACUUGGUUGCGUGCUCAUGCAGCAUGCCAAAGUCAUUGCGUAUGCAUCAUGGCAGUUAAAGGAUUAUGAGAAAGUCUAUCCUACUCAUGAUCUGGAACUGGCCGUGAUAGUGUUUGCCUUAAAGAUAUGGAGACAUUAUCUUUAUGGGGAGAAAUGUGAGAUAUAUACGGACCAUAAGAGUCUUAAGUAUAUCUUCACUCAGAAGGAGUUGAAUAUGAGACAGAGAAGAUGGCUAGAGUUGAUAAAGGAUUACGAUUGUGAAAUCCUGUAUCACCCUAGGAAAGCCAAUGUAGUUGUCGAUGCCUUAAGUAGGAAGGGUCGAGAAAAGUUAUCUGUGUUAACAACUCAAAAUGAGUUAAUAACAAAGAUGGCUAAGAUGGAAAUAGAAGUGAAGAUGCCAAGUGACUCUAGGCAGAUACUUUUUUCAACGGAGAUGCAAUCUACCAUCGUAGAGAGAGUCAAGGAGGUACAACUCAAGACUGACGAGUGUAACCAAAUGAAGAAGCGGAUAUCUGAUAAGGAAGAUACUAAGUAUAGUCUUGAUAAUGAAGAAUUAUUAAGAUUUGAAGGAACAAUUUGGGUUCCAAAUGAGACAGAAUUAAAGGAGCAAGUGUUACAAGAAGCUCAUAGUUUGAGGUACUUGAUACAUCCUGGUAGCACUAAGAUGUAUCAAGACCUUCGACAGAUUUUUUGGUGGCCGAAUAUGAAGAGAGAAAUAGCUGAAUACGUGAGUAGAUGCUUAACUUGUCAAAAAGUUAAAGCUGAACAUCAAAGACCAAGUGGCUUGUUACAGUCAUUGGAGAUUCCAGAAUGGAAGUGGGAGCAUAUCACGAUGGACUUCGUGAUGGGACUUUCGACAACGACCAAAGGGUACGAUUCGAUUUGGGUAAUAGUAGACCGAUUGACGAAAUUGGCUCACUUCUUACCAAUUAGGGUCAAGUAUAACUUAGACUAGUUAGCUAAGCUUUAUGUCAAGGAAAUUAUUUCCAGACAUGGAGUACUAGUAUUGAUUGUGUCAGAUCGUGAUCCACGAUUCACAUCGAACUUCUGGAGAAGUUUGCAAGAACAGCUGGGAACACAGUUGAAGUUAAGCACAACUUAUCAUCCACAAACUGAUGGGUAGAGCGAGAGGACAAUUCAGACGUUAGAAGACAUGUUAAGGUCUUGCGUCAUGGAUUUUAAGGGUAGUUGGGAUGAUCACCUACCACUUGUAGAGUUUGCAUAUAACAACAGUUAUCAUGCAAGCAUAGGCAUGCCGCCUUAUGAAGCUUUGUACGGAAGGUGCAGAAAACCAUUGUAUUGGGAUGAAGUGGGAGAACGCCGGAUGCUAGGACCAGAAUUGGUGCAGCAGACAGCGGAUGUAAUAAAGUUAAUUCAGAUGCAUCUUGUUACAGGUCAAGACAGACAGAAGAAAUAUGCGGACUCACAUAGAUUAAAUCGAGAGUUUGAAGUAGGCUCAUAUGUAUUUCUAAAGGUAUCUCCCUGGAAAGGAAAGAUACGCUUUGGAAAGAAAGGAAAGAUACGCUUUGGAAAGAAAGGGAAGAUAAGUCCAAGGUUUAUAGGACCUUUUGAGGUAUUAAAAAGGGUGGGAGAGGUAGCUUAUAUGAUAGCAUUACCUCCAGACCUAUAAAGAAUAAAUAACGUGUUUCACGUAUCUGUAUUGCGUCCGUAUAAGCCGAAUUAUAAGCACGUAAUCGAAUAUGAGCCGAUUCAUAUCGAGAAAGAUUUAACCUAUGAAGAAUCGUCGAUUCAAAUCAUUGAUAGAAAAGAGCAAGUUCUGCGGAACAAAGUAAUACCGUCAGUAAAGGUAUUAUGGAAGAACCACGAUGCCGAAGAAGCAACGUGGGAAUUAGAAGAAAAGAUGAAGAAAAAUUUUCCUCAUCUAUUUGAUUAAAGUAAGACAAGAUUCUGGGGACAUAAUCUUUAUAAGGGGGGAAGAAUGUAAUGACCGAGAAAUUCAGAUUUUAUUGUAAAAUGAUUUUACUAACUAAAUAAUAAUAAAAUCAUAUUCUUUGUGAUAUCAAGAUGGUUGUCAUUCUAUAACCUAUUGAUGUUGGAAUGUCGUAGUAUUUGAGAUACGUGAAGAAAUUAAAGUGUUUGAAUUUCUAAGACGAAAGUAAAAGUUUUCCGAGAAAUUUUCUGAAAAACACUAUUCAUCAGUAUUUGCUCGGGAAUUAUUUUUAAUUUCCGAGAAAUACGUAAUGAUAGAAUAUCAAGGUAAGAUGGAUUAUGUAAUAAUAAUCUAGUUAUGGAAAACGUAAUAUUCGCUUGCGGAAUUAAUUCGAGAAUAUUAAGGAAAGCGAAGUAUUAGUAAGAAAUCGUUAAGGGUAUGAUACUUAUGUAUUGUACAAGGGAAUGAAAACAAGUAUAAUACAAAGUAUUAUACGAGUUUGUAUGAAGGAAGGAAUAUCGUAUAUAAUGAAGUUGUAUACGAAUUAUAAUAUGAGAAUAAUACAUAGACAAUAUGUAUAUGUAAUGGAUUUGGAAGAUUGGUUAACAAUUGGUACAAGCCCAAGUGAAUUAAAUGUUAAGGCCCAAUGUUAAUUAAUGAAUAAGUUAAUUAAUGCAAGCCCAAAAGAUAGGUUAAACUAAGCCCAAAUUAAAGUCCAAUGGGUUAUGGUGACCCAUGGGGCAAACCAUACUAAUGUGGUUAAUGUGUGGUAACCAAGAUAAGUGGUGACCAAGUUAAGUGGUAACCAAGUUGUUGUAAUGACCAAGCAAAGGAUAGGUUUUGUGCCAUGCAAGUAAUGAAUAGUAAGGAGGUUCAUAAGGAGGUGGGAUUGGUUUAAAGUCCAAACUACCCUAACUUUGGAAAAUCUAUAUAUAGAGGAGGCUUACAAGCCAUUUGUUAGUUGUUCAAAUAAUCCAAACACUCUCUCAAAGUGCUUAAUUGUUAGGGUGAUUAAGUUGAAAAUAAGCCACUUACAUAAGAAGAAGAAGAAGAAGAAGAAGACUACUUACAAAGACUUCAAAUGUAAGACUCCUUCUCUAAUUAUCUUCUAUCUCUAUUCAUGAUAGGUUAAUAAGCAAAGAUGAAUUAAAGAACAUGAAUGUUAAGAAGUGAGAAGAAAGUGUAAGUAUUGAACUUAAGCCACAUAAGUUGGUAAUAAGUCAUUUAAGCUAGCAUAAGUUAUAAACUUAUGUGAAAGUAUUAUGAACUUGUCAUGAGUUUAUUAAUGAAAGUAAAUAAAUUGUAUGUAUAUUAAUCAUAUAUACAUGAAUGAAAUUAUAUGUGAAAACAUGUAUGCAUGAUGAUUAAAAGACAAUAACUUUCAUAAGUUAUGAACAAUAAAGCUAUAAGUAGUUUAUAAUUGAAUAAGUUAUAAGCUCAUGAAUGAAUUAAGUCAAAAUCCAAUAAUGGAAAUAAGUUGUUGUAUUAAGUAUGUGAAGAUGUUUAUAGAAUGAAAUGAAUGCAAGUGAAGUAAUGAACAAAUCAUAAGUAAUGAAGAUUUUCUGGAAAUCGAACGAUUAGACGAUAAUCGUCGAAUUCGUGAAAUUCCCGGAUUAGAAGUCAAAUUUUGAGUUUGAACUCAGAAUGAACCAAUAGGUGAAUUUUUAGCAAACGAAGUCAAAUAGAUAAAAUUUUGCAUGAACGUGUAGAUUACGUAAUUUAUGAACCGUAGGCUUUUGAACGAGCCAAUUCGGACUUAUAACGAAGAAGUUAUGCGUCCGGGAAGUUCAUAAAAUUUAAAGUUUGAAAAAAAUUUCUGGUGCACAGAGUUGGCGCCACGGCGCCAACCCUAGGCCAAAUGAUGGCGCCGCAGCGCUAUAACAGUAACCGAGCAUACUGGAAACUCGCGUCGCAGCACGAACUAUAGAACAUUUUGUGGUGACGCAGCGCCAUGAACAGACCAUGACAUACUGGAAAGUGGCAUCGUAACGCGGCCCACUAAGUAAGGACUCGCGCCACAGCGCCAAGUUCCGGACCUCUCCACUGUUAACUCGUGCCGCAGGGCGAGCUGUAGUUAUAAAGCUGGCGCUGCAGCGCCAGUCUCAGAACAAGGAUAGUGAAGAAUAUUUCUAAGUACAAAGAAAGAAUGGUAAUGGAUUUAAAAGUAAACAUACUUUAAGGAACAUAACUUAACAUUGUUUAAACUUUGUUAAACCUUAAGGAUGUUGUAUAAAGGUUGAGAUAACCUAGUCAAAUGUAAAUGCAAGUAUAAUGAUAAAUCAGAAUGAAUAGUAAAUAUAUCUAAUACACAAUUAGAUUGAGAUGAAGGGUAAGAUAGUCAUAUAUAUACUUGGUUAUAUAUGACCUAAUGUGAGGCAUUAUGUGAUCAUGUAUUGUAGAGACUUGAAAGACUUGAACGUAAAGUAUUUAUACCGUAGCAGACGCUAAAGGCAAGUAUUCUAACUCUUGUCUCAGUUCAAUCUGAACAAGUUUUGAAGUUCGUGUAUUCUUACGCAUGAACUAAUGUAUGAUGAAGUUAAAGCCAAUCCUUUCGGCUAGACUUGACAUAUUGAGUGGAUUAUUGAUAAUCUAUUCAUCUAUUAUCAUAUGUUAUUAUCUUUUUUCAACUACUUGAUAUGGUUUUCAAAAGAAGACUGAAAUGUUAAACAAAUGUUUUUGUCGUUAAACGACAGGCAUGCGAGGUUGCCACCAAUUAAACGUACAUACGUUUAAUGAAUGUAGUGUUGAUCAACAUAGAGUACAAUAGGCUGAUCACCUAGAAGUGCUAGUAAGUAUUACCGGGCUUACGGACUUAGUUCCGGGUUGUCCUUUUCAAAGAAGAAAGAAAUGCUCGAGGUCUUUGACUGGAGUGAAUGUUUUACUGAAUACUGAUAUUAUUGUAAAACAUUUUGAAAGAAAGAUGAAGUGCUAUUUUGAAUCAUCAAUAGUACUUCAUAACUAUUGUUCAGUUAUUGAAGAUAUACGAUUCGUAUGUAUCAAGCAUGUUAUUUAUUGAAAAUGUCAUACUUGCUGAGCUAGUUAUGCUCACCCUUGCUUGAACCAUAUGAAUGCAACUAAGACUUAACGUCCCGAAGGAUCGAAUAAGGAUAAAGGAAAAGCUAAGGCAGAUCGUUAAGCUGCCUAUGUAAUAGUAUAGGUUAUUAUUGUAAUGUUAUUGAUAUUAUGACAAAGAACCUUUGUAAUGGGUUUAGAACUUGGGACAAUGUAAAUAUUAUUUUGAUAAUAUAGAAGAUAUGUUCGUUCUUUUGAGGCUUUUCAAUUGAAUAAAUGUAUGAAUGUUUGUAUAGUAUAGCACCAUCUGUCGGGUUGGAAGAUACCCGGAUUUGGGGGCGCUACACGGGCCAUAUUAACCAACCUCCUCACAAAACCUUUUGAAGCUGUCACAGUCGAUAACAUUAAAAGGAAUACCGACUUCAUACACCCAUCGAGCCAUGUAUUAAAGCACACUAUGCGUCCUUUCCUUCCAAAGUGCAUCAUUAAUAUUUUGUUAUCGUAGCUUUUUACUUGCACUCAUUAAAGAAUCGGGAUUUAUGGUCGAUGCAAAUUUAUCCAUAGCCUCAAUCAAUUGUGGUCUUUUUCUUGACCCUGUCACUUCAAUUUCUUCUUCUCCCUCUUCAUCAAUUAUAUUAACCUCUCUUCUAAUUUCUUCAAUCUCUUUCCUUUUUUCUUGCUUCUUCCUUUUAACUUCUUCUAAUGCGGCUUUACAGUUUUCUUUAUCUUCAUCAGUAGCCUUUGGGCACGAUCUAGUAUUUCCCGUAAUUUGCGCAAUGUGUUAUUUAAUUCUAUAAACCCCUCCACUAAUACAAUGUCCACACAACUUGCAUUUCACCUUAUCGAUAUUUUUAGGAUUAAUCAACAUCCCAUACUACCAUCCAACGUCAUUUCAUGCACGUUUCAAUUGUGAUUUAAGUACAGUGACAGAAUUAGAUGCUCCCGAAGAAGGAAUUUGUGCCAUUGAAACAAACCUACAAAUGUCACAGUCUAUAGAAGGCGGCAGCAACAAAUAGAGGGAAAAUAAGUAAGUCAAUAAGAUAUUCAUAUUCUCUGUUUACUAUACACAGUUAUAGCUCAUGCUUGGUUAUUUUAUAUUUUAUUUUCUCUGUUUGGUAUACACAGUACGGUUUGUUGUAUUUUUGUUUAUGUACAGCUUUCUUUGGAUGCUCAUUGCUCUGGAACUAUUAUUUCACAGGCCUCGCUAGUGUCGCAUCCAAACUCGUAUUUCAUUUUGACUGUCGAUAUUAAUACUUGUUCUGUGACCCAAGAAUGUUUACUUACUGUGAUUGAGAUUGUUCAGUUUUAAUUUGAGCUUAAAGUUUGUUGAUGAACUCAAACCUUUUUAGUUGCUUAGCAGAAAGGAAAAUUUCAAAAACAAGUGGCGAUGUGGAGUUUACAAACAAGCUAAUUGAUGUUCACAAACAAGCUAAUUGAUGUUUACAAGAUAUCAAAACUCACUGUGAUGGAGUGGUGUUGUGGCCAUGUGGCGGCGAUGGAGUGGCGUUGUCGCUACGAUGGAGCAGUGGCGGCCGUCCGGCCGUGCGCCCGUGCCUCUUCUUCUUCUUCUUCUUUUGCAGUUCUGCCCUUUCUUCUUCACUUUAGUAAUGGUCUGCACGUUUUUUAGAGAAUGGAAGAAAGAUCAGAUGACUGAAGUGAUGACUAUGACUAUGAGUAGUGGGUAUUAAAUUUUAACUUUGAGUAAAGAUAUCAUGUGUACACCCUCACCACAAACUUUGUAAGCUAUCAAGAAUGUUUACUUCAUGCCACGUGUUGAGCAAUAUGCCAU
rnacentral:lncRNA from 1 species